UAAUUUUGAAAUAUUGCUAAGUUGUUAAUCAAAGUUCAUAAAUUUUUAAAAAUUAAUAUAAGUUAAAAUAUAGUAAAGAUUAUUAAAAUGUGUUUCAAAGCUAUAGAGUAUAAGUACUGAAUAGGAAAUAAUAUUAGGAUUAAAAAAUAGUAAAGUAGGUUUUAAUUUCCGUACCUUGUGUAUCAGGGAUAAUUAAACUUUCGUGAGUAAAAAGUCACUAAUCCCGAAGUAAAGAUAGCUAGUAUAUUAAACAAGUUUUUGUUAUAUAAAAAUUUGUAAUGCUAUACUAAAGAUGAAAUGUCAUACGAGCUUUACAAUAUCUGGUUCCUUAGGAAUUAAAUAUAAUUUAACUAUUAAGUUGAAAUUACUUAAUAAUAAAGGGUAGGAGGGAUGAGCUUCUUAUCACUAAAAAUAAUUAUUUAAUAGAUUGAUUUUUAGUCAACCUUACUAAGCUUAAAAGUAGCUAUGGUAGUAAAGUGUUCUAAUUUAGGUUCUAUAAUAAAGCUAUUUAUUAUGUCUUUAAUUAAAUUACUAAGGUAUUAUUCUAAUCUAAUAAGUUUAAGAAAUAAUGAUUGUAUAAGUAAAGUAUAAUGUGUAAAAAGUUAGAUAUAAAGUAAUUGAAAAAUUAUAACAGUUAAAAGUAAUGAAAAAGGAACUCGGCAAAAGGUUUUCUUGCCUGUUUAUCAAAAACAUGUCUAUUAGAGGGUAUUUAUAGUCUAGCCUGCUCACUGAUAAAAAUUAUUAAAUAGCCGCGGUAUCUUGACCGUGCAAAGGUAGCAUAAUCAUUAGUUUUUUAAUUGAAAACUUGUAUGAAUGGUUGGACAAAGAAAAAGCUGUCUCUUUCAUUAAAAUUGAAUUUAACUUCUAAGUGAAAAGGCUUAGAUAUUUUAGAGGGACGAUAAGACCCUAUAAAGCUUUAUAAAUUUAGAAAUUUUAUAUAUUUUUUUAAUAAUGAUAAUCUUUUGAAAAUUUAUUGGGUUGGGGCAACAAAAGUAUAAUUAUUAAUAACUGCUAGAAAGUAUUACAAUUGUUUUUGUCAUAAAGAAAAUUAGUUGAUCCCUGAAAGGGAUUAAAAGAUCAAGUUACUUUAGGGAUAACAGCGUAAUUUAUUCUGAGAGUCCUUAUCAAAGAAUAAGUUUGCGACCUCGAUGUUGAAUUAAAAUGUCUUUAUAGUGCAGCAGCUAUAUAAGAAGGUCUGUUCGACCUUUAAUUUUUUACAUGAUUUGAGUUCAGACCGGCGUGAGCCAGGUCGGUUUCUAUCUUCUAAAAUUAAAAAGGUUACUUUAGUACGAAAGGAUUAAGUAAUCAAAAAUCUUUUAAAAAUUUGAAAUA
rnacentral:rRNA from 1 species